UGGAGAGGGUGUGCUUCCUGUUGAACU
rnacentral:piRNA from 1 species